AGAGAAAUGACUCUCGGCAAUGGAUAUCUCGGCUCUUGCAUCGAUGAAGAACGUAGCGAAAUGCGAUACUUGGUGUGAAUUGCAGAAUCCCGUGAACCAUCGAGUCUUUGAACGCAAGUUGCGCCCGAAGCCAUUAGGCCGAGGGCAUGCCUGCCUGGGUGUCAC
rnacentral:rRNA from 1 species